UACGAACUGUGCAAACGUUAUUCGGAAUCACUGGGCCUACAGGGUGCGUAGGCGGCUUGUCAAGUAGGGUGUGAAAUCCCCAGGCUCAACCGGGGAAUUGCGCCCUAAACUGGCGAGCUGGAGUGAGAUAGGGGUGUGUGGAACUUCCGGUGGAGCGGUGAAAUGUGUUGAUAUCGGAAGGAACGCCGGUAGCGAAAGCGACACACUGGGUCUUUACUGACGCUGAGGCACGAAAGCCAGGGGAGCGAACGGG
rnacentral:misc_RNA from 1 species